AUUUUCCCUAUUUAGCUUCAUUUCUGCAAGAUUUAAUCAUAAUUGAUACCGGAAAUACUACCGCCGGCCGUAUUUCUUUUUGACUUCGGUGUUGAAUUCGGAGUUUUGAAGUCUAAUGUAUUGAUCUGUUAAAUUUGUGAGUUAUUGAAUUGAAGAAAAUGGCGGGGGCAAGUCAAGGAGGACCAAAUAUGGAUCAAUUUGAACUUUUCUUUCGUAGAGCUGAUUUGGAUCAAGAUGGGAGAAUCAGUGGUGUUGAAGCCGUUGGUUUUUUGAAAGGAUCUAACUUGCCUCAACCUGUUUUAGCUCAGAUAUGGACACAUGCUGACCAGAGCCGUACUGGGUAUCUUAGCCGUCCGGAGUUUUAUAAUGCUCUUAAACUUGUAACAGUGGCACAGAGUAAACGAGAAUUAACACCAGAUAUUGUGAAGGCAGCUUUAUAUGGUCCUGCUUCUGCUAAAAUCCCUGCUCCACAGAUUAACCUUGCAGCGGUUGCUUCUCCCCAAUCAAAUUCAGUUGGUGCUGCACCUGCACAACAGAUGGGUGCUGGUUUACCAACAGCCUCUCAAAAUUUUGGCAUCAGAGGACAGCUACCUCAUGCAACAGGUAUGAACCAACAAUAUCUAACUUCUCAAGCCGGCCACUCUGUGAGGCCACCUAUUCCUACUGCAGCUACUGCAUCACGUCCCCAGCAAUUUGUUGCUGGCAUGAAUUUCCCCAGGGGUGGAAGUUUUACAGGUCCUGGUCUUCCAAACUCGAACAGUUCAAAUGACUAUCUCGGGAGCAGACAAGCAGCAAUAUCCACUGGACCUACUAUGCAGCCUCCUAAUAGAGGAAUGAGCCCUUUGGUCCCUCCAGUUACGCAAACUCUUCAGGGAUCUCUUUCACUACCUUCCAUGACAGAAGUUAAUACAAAAGCUACUGGUAGUUCUGGUAAUGGUUUUGCGUCGGACACAAUGUUUGGUGGUGAAACCUUCUCCGCAAGCCAAUCUGUACCAAAGAAGUCUUCGUCUACUCCAAACUUUUCUAUGAUGAGUUCUCCCACUUCUUCAGCUAUGGUUCCAGUAACCACCGAGUCUCACGCUUCAGCCAAGCCUGACCCCUUUGCUGCAUUUAAUACUCUUACAAGGCAAUCUCCUGGGAAUCAGCAGCCAGUAACCCCAUCUGUGUCUAAACCUAAUCAACAGGCUUCUGUUCAGAAUAUUUUGCCAGUGUCAUCAUCUGGAACUCCAGCGGGUUCUGUACCUCCUACUCCUGAGCAGCCACAAGUUCCUUGGCCAAAAAUGACAAGAGCAGGAGUUCAGAAGUAUGCAAAAGUGUUUAUGGAGGUGGAUUCAGACAGAGAUGGAAAAAUCUCCGGUCAACAAGCGCGGGAUUUAUUCUUGAACUGGAGACUGCCAAGAGAGGUCUUGAAGCAGGUAUGGGACUUGGCUGAUCAAGAUAAUGACAGCAUGCUCUCUUUGAGGGAGUUCUGUGUAGCUCUGUAUUUGAUGGAACGAUAUAGGGAAGGCCGCUCUCUUCCAUCUACACUACCGAAUAGCGUUAUGCUUGAUGAGACUCUGCUGGCCCUAGCAGGUCCACCGACUGCUGCUUAUGGAAGCACUGGCUGGGGUCCUGCUUCUGGCGUACGACCUCCACAAGGGAUGCCUGGUGUACAGCCAGUUGCACAUCCUGGAUUAAGAUCUCCUAUGCAGGGGGCAUUACCUCAGUCUGACCGAGCGAUGCAAUUUAAUCAGCAAAAUGCUAGAGCAACAACAUCAGUGAAUAAUUCUCAUAUGGACCAACUAAGUAAUGGGGAGCAGAAUAUGUCGGAGUCAAAGGGAGAAGAAACAGCAGCAGAAGAGAAUAAGGAUGAAAGCAAGGACAAGAUGCUUCUGGAUUCUAAGGAGAAGCUUGAAUUCUACCGCACAAAAAUGCAGGAUCUUGUUUUGUAUAAAAGUAGAUGUGAUAACCGGCUUAAUGAAAUCACUGAAAGGGCAUUGGCUGAUAAACGUGAGGCCGAGCUUCUUGGCAAA
rnacentral:misc_RNA from 1 species